GCCUAUGAGUAAUUCCAUGGAAGGGGCACAGGCUGUCAGUGCUUGGCAGGCGAGGAAGCAGCCUUGCUGUUUGGCUAGGAGGAACCUGUUCAUAGCGAUUUGAAAUUCCUGAUAAUGUAAGCUGCAGUCUACAGUGCUGGCUUCCCACUAUAACCACUACCUGUCCAUGGACAACAAUUCCAACAAUAUUCAGAAUUGUCAGGACUGUAGUCCCUCCCACAGCAAAUGUUCUAGUGGUACAAUUUCUACAAUCCACAGAAUUAUGGGAAAUGCAGUCAAACAUCAGCUGGAGGGCCAUGCAGAGGGCAGGAAUGUAGUAAGGCGCCUCCAUUGAAUGCAUGAUUUUUGUUGCUGGAUGCGUCUAUUUAUUUAUAAGCUUGUGUUUGUAUCUGUGUGCUAGGGUGUAUCUGUGUGAAUGUGCCUGUAUAUGUGGGUGUGUAAUUGUCACUGUGUUUAUGUUUAUGCACUGCAUCUGCGGUUGUUAUGCAACAGGUGUAUGAGUGAGCGUCGUGUGUCAUGGUUAGUGAGGUGUCUGGUGUUUUGAUUUUUGUUGGGAGAAAGGGAUCUCGGAUUGGGGUAUUAAGUUGUGGUAUCUAUGGCAUCCUUAGAGAGUGAACUCACAUGGCCCCAUUAGAUGCUGCGCGUUUUAAAUGAAGGUUCCAAGCACCAUAACCACUUCAGCAUGCCCUGGCAUGUAAGUAGUCAAACGUUUUUGACUUCUUACCUGAAGUCUUCCGGACAGUUGUCCUUGUGUGCCCUUCCAGUACUGAGAUUCGUAGGCUCCUAGCACUGUGUAGUGGUUAUGGUACUUUAAGUUGCCUCACUAGGAAUAAUGAGAAUUAUUAUUACUGCAUCAUGAAUGUUAGUACCUCCAAAAAUAGCUUCUUCGUCCUUUAGCUGCUCUGGCCAAUCCGUGGAGGGGGAAGGAGUUAUCCAACAAGUGGUGAUGGGGGAAUGAUGACCCUGCUGGCUCACAUACUCUGACACACCAGAAAUGUAAUAAGUGAUAAGAAUUACACGUUUUCCCUAAGUGAUUUUUUUUUAUUUUUUUUUUAAACAACAUAAAAAUCAAAAACAAAUUCCACUUUCCUUGUCCUUUUGGUACAAAUUCACUUAUAAUUGCAAAAAAAUAAUAAUCUAAAAUAUAGUACAAAGAGUAGAAAAAGGCUGCUUAUGGGAGGGAAUAAAAAAGAGAUCUGUUGUUUUUUUUCUUGCACGGUGAGAAGGCAGGGCCUUCUUUGUACCUCACAUGAGACUAAGAUCUGGCGGUGGAGGUUGAAAGGGAAUUGUCCGAAAUAACCAAUAUUAGAGAAUUUUACCAAAAUUACAUUUCUGCAGAUAUUUUCCCCGUGAUAAUAAUAAUCGUCUAGGGGCAGACGACAUGCCACCACUCUUGCGUGUGUUUGAAUGUUUAUGGAGUAGAUGCAAUAAAUAUGGACAAACGUACUGAGACACCUGACACCAACAGGGACUUUUAUGACAUCACAUUCUAAAUACAUAGACAUUAAUAUGGAGCUGGUCCCCCCUUUGCAGCUAUAACAGAUUCCCCUAUUCUGAGAAGGCUUUCCAUAAGAUUUUUGAAUGUUUAUGUGAGAAUUUUUACCCAUUCAUCCAGUAGAGCAUUUGUGAGGUCAGGAGCUGCUGUUGGGUGAGAAGGCUCACAAUCUCCAUUCCAGUUCACUCCAGAGGUGUUUGAUGGGGUUGAGGUCAGGACUCUGUGUGGGCCAGUCGAGUUCUUCCACACCAAACUCAUCCAACCAUGUCUUUAUGGACCUUGCUUUAUGCACGGGGGCACAGUCAUGUUGGAAUAGAAAAGGACCCUCCCCAAACUGUUCCCACAAAGUUGAAAGCAUAACAUUGUCCAUAAUGUCCCUUCACUGAUUUCCCGUUACUUGAAGCAAGGUGUGACAGAACCAUCUGCCUGCCUAUUGUGGUGGAUUCUUCUAUUUCUGCCCCCUUUUGUGUAAAUGGCUGUUUCUAUAGCCCAGCCAUACGAAUUACUGUUUUUUCCCGAACAAACCUACCGAAUGGACGGCCACCCAAAAGAGAAGUGUGCUGCUGGUUAACCUAUUGAUCCCAAUUAGAACGUUGUGGUUAACCUCAGACACUUCUCAAUUAAACGAAUUCAGGGUGGUCGUCGUUCGUAUGUCGACCACGAGGCAGCUGCCAUUUUAAACCUUGCGAAAGCCCAGCGGUGUUUGGCUCUAUUUCUAUGGAACUAAAAACGGACACUUUUUCUGCCGAACACCGCUGAAACAAUGGAACGCCUGGCUGCCUCCACGAAAGCAUACGAAUACCGGCCGUUUGGGAGGUUUGAAGCAUACGAAAGGACUUAACCCAGAUAGCCUUCCCAUGGAGUUAUUCGUAUACCGAAGGACUGUAAGAACUUUGACUCUAUGGCGAUUGAACUAUGUGUGUGGGAUCUGAGCGCAAUUCGCUAAUAAUAUGCACUCAGAUCCAGGCCAUCUGGGGAUAUGUGAUACGAAUGGGAAAUGUUCAGUUAUUUUAAAGUUAUGUAUUUUUAUGUCUUUUAUGAUUUUAUAUUUAAAAUGGCGACUGGCUUUGUCCUGGAGAUAAUUGUGUUACUUGAUAAUUAUCUCCAGGGCAGAGGGGAGGGAAUCAUAGUGCAUUGUGGGUAAAAACUGUGUCCAUGUGUCUGGAAUGUCCCCAUAUCUGCCUGUCAUUUAAGUCUCCCAUUUGGUCCCCUAGGGGAGUGUCCACCAAGUGGGAGACCUGCAUAAAUACGGGCAGGUAGCCCACAGUAAAGCCAGAUCCUGUUUGACCCUCAAUGCAGAGCUUCUGUCUCGUUAUUGGGGGGAUUUCUUCUUCACGUUUAGAGACUGCUGGAUGGAACGGAAGCCACUUGGUGAAUAUUAUUGUUCGGCGGCUAGCAGCUGUUCGUGGAGUUCCGUUCGGGAGGUUGGAGCCUUUCACUGAUCCCAGUCGGGAGAUUGAUGCUUCCCCUGAGUUUGGUUCGUGCACUACGGUUAUGCGAACGGAGAUUAUUGGUACUGCAGCAGGGGAAGGUCGACUAAACGGCGGCUUUAUUUAAAGACACUGGGGGUGUCUUAACACAAGGGGCCUAGCUCAACGCUUGGCAUUGUACUUGGUGAUGUGAGGCUUGCAUGCAGCUGCUCGGCCAUGGAUGCCCAUUCCACAAACCUUCCACCGCACAUGUAUUUGUGCAGAUAUUAAUGCCAGUGGAAGUUUGAAACUAUUCCAUUCUGGAAUCAGCAGAGCGUUGUCUGACCUUCCUCUGUGACUUUAUAAUUGACCGUGGAAUAUCUAUCAGGGAUGAAAUUUCACGAACUGACUUAUUGCCAAGGUGGUCACAUGUACCAUGCUCAAAUUCAUUUCUUUUCACAAAUGUUUGUAAAUGCAGACUGCAUGGGUAGGUGUUUGAUUUUAUACACCUGUGGCAACGGGUCUGAUUGAAACACCUGAAUUCAAUAAUUAAGAGAUGUGUCCCAAUACUCCUAUCCAUAUAGAGCAGGUUGGGGAACCUUUGGUCCUCCAGAUGUUUUGGACUACCUCUCCCAUAAUGCUGUUACAGCCAUAAUGCUAGCAAAGCAUUGAGGGAGAUGUAGUCUACAACAUCUGGGGGGGGCGAAGGUUCCCCACCCCUCAUAUAGAGUAUCUUCAUACCUUCGAAGUCUAACUCGCUGAUGCUUGCCAUGUGAUAUACAUGGAAUUAGAUCGUUCGCACGGCGGCCUUUACAUUGUUAAAAUGUUCCUCACCUUUUCACCCGUGUUUCAGGGCUUACAUUUCAAACAAUAUGUUGCUGUACCUGUUGCUCCCUUUUCUGGAGACUCUGUAAUAAUGUUAUUGUGAUUGGGGGCAAUCUGAACUCCACUGGGAUCUAAUCUCCUGUUGAAGAUAAUUGUACAUGAUUAAGUAUGAAAAGGAGACAAUUAUCGAGCGUUGUAAUCACUGGUUUGUUUAAUACUGACUAUGCGUCCUUCAAGAGACUGAUCAUAUUUCACUCAGGAGCAAUGAAUGCUCUUUGAUUAGGCCAGAGAUCGUCCCCAGGGAGGGGGGCAGUGCAUUAGCGUCUACUUAGAAAAUACCAACGGACUCAGGAGUGCCGUGCAUUCCCACAGAUGGUGUAAGAAUCCGCUAAAUAACAUGCAAUUAAUCUAAUGUAAUAGGGGUUUAGGGAUUAAACAAGGAAUUGUGUGGAAUUGAAAAGGACAUUGCAUAUGUUGGGUCAAAAUAGCUCAUUUAAACCAAAACAUUUUUUUCAGCUCAGCUAAUUUUAUGUAAAACUCACAAUCUUUUCAAGUUUUGGUAAUAAAAUUACAAUGUUAUUAUUAAAUGAACACAUGUUAGGAUUACAAACACGAGUAAAUAUCUAGAUCCCCGUCCACCCUCUCUGUGGAGUAAAAAGUUAGUUAACUCUCCUUUUUUCCAGCGCCACGCCGAUCUCGCCAUGGCUGGAGGUGGACUCCAUGGCUGAGAUAGUAAAUCUUGAUGAUCUAUGUCAAUCCAAUGAGGUUAUUGCACAUGCACAGCAAAGCACCAAUCACUAUCUCCUCACAGAGUUAUAUAAAAUCAAUGCAUCUCUAUGGGGAGUGUUCAUUGUCUCCAUGCAGAACGCAGAUACACUGUGCGUAGGUGCUGCACACUGUGCAUCACUGACAUAGGAAGCACCUCCAGCGGCCUUCUGAGUGACUGUCUCUAGAGGUGUUCCUAGGCAGUAAUGUAAAUGUUGCCUUUUCUCUGAAAUGGUGGAGUUUACAUUAAAAAGCCUGCAGGGAUAGGCAAUGGAUACCAUACCCAUUGCAUUCAGCUGUAGUGCUUGUAGUGACCAUAGUGUCCCUUUAAGUGUAAUCCAAAAAAUCUUACUGGUUCUGUUCACUAACCAGCACAUUGUUGUGAACUGACAAUAGUUUUGCAAAAUUCAGGUAAUAAUUUCUGAAUAUGAAAUAAAAUCUUUAACUCGUUUAUUAUAGAAGAUAACAAACGAUCCAUCAUACACCUCCGAUACACAGUGUUGUUUUCAUUUGGUAACUAAAACAACCCGAUCAUCACGUGGUGAUAACGGACGGCCAAUCUAGGGCAUUAUGAUACAAUAUGCAAAAUGGUAAACACAGAAAGUAAAGUGAAUUCGAUGUUCUCCACUAAGAAAAUGUAAAUUCAGUUAUUAAAUGUGGAACACACUGCCUCAAGCAUUCACACCCUUUACACGAACAAUCGUCUAUCUUACAAAGACGCCAUCCUGAAAUUGAGGUAUUUGGAAUGAUGCCAAGAUUAGUUUAUAAGAGGGGGUGCGUCUCCGGAUUGCCUUUGUGCCCCCGCUCACUGUGGCUAUAAUAAUGUUAUUUCAAUAAAGGAUGACUUUAAACCUGCACGAUCGAGUUUGGAUUGUUUGUCCUGUAAUUAGAUCCGGCACUAUCGAUUGGCUUGUAUGUUUCCGGUUUGAUCAAACUGUAUAUUUGGUGUGAGGGGUAGCAGUUUAUUUGGUAAAGUGAAGAAUAUGGAUUGGUAUAAUGUUAAUAAGUGCCCCGGUUUCUGUACUGCGUUACAGGGAUACAGUAUUGGUACAUGGUCAUUUUACCAGUUACAGUCUUCUUUUGUAGAUUCAAUUAUUUAGUUCCUACGGCAAAAUAAAUGUUUGUUGGAUUCAGAAGAUAAAAGGAAGGCUUUGUAAAUGCUAAUCUACAAUUUGUAAAUCUAGAUUAGACCUUCCUGUCUCUAAGCAUUUUACAGAAAGGCGUCAUAAUGCAACGCAGUUAAACACAGAAAUACUCCCAAGAUGGCAGGACAAAUGUCUCAGAUUCAGGAAUAUUGGAAAAUAAGGUAACUGUCAAAGACUUCCCUAGAAUCAUUACGUUUUAUCAUUUCCCCUGUGUCUUGUUAGCUAGAAAUACACGCUGAUAUGUUUUAUUAUACACUUAACAGUUCAAUAUAUUAAUUCAUUAAAAAAAAAUUUUUUAAGAUAUUUUAUUAAUUCCGAAGCAGUAUAUACUUUCCUUAGUGACUGGUCAGUGCUGGUUCUUAGACAAUUGCUACAAAGUGAUAUCUGCUUGGAUGCAGAUUCUUAAAGUACUUGCAUUCUAUACCAGGGCAGGAAUGCUUAAAUAGAGUUACAUUGAACUACAUUAAACCUCACAGGCAUGAUGCAAAUGAGAAACUGUAUUUACGUUUGCUUAUUCAAACUGGAUCUGUUUUUUAUGUAGGUGAGGUGAGGUUUAUUUCUGAAAAUCGUGCGUAAUAACACAUAAACUCUGCUAUCAAUGUCUGAUUUAUUAUGCUUUUUUAUUCUUUUCCAAUUUUUUUGUCUUGAUCCAAAAUAAACCUCACAUAUUUUUGGCUUUUGAAACACAUUUUUUAAUUGCAAUGUAUGUAUCUGUUACCUCUCACCCUAUUUUGCAUUUUGUUUCUUGUUUUUUGGCUUGGAAGAGUUUGCCAAACCGGAACAAUUUAUCCUUUCCAGAGAUUACAACCAUUUUUUUUUCAUAGAAAAAGUAAAAUAUUUUCUAUAUAUAGUUACAUAAUCAAGUUGAAAUUGAUCUGCCUACCGAUCCUAAAUGGAGAGUAUGUUUGUGUAAAUGAUACGAAGUACAAAGCGCUUUACUCUGUAGGAAAUACCAGACACAAUGGAAGAAAAGAGUUGAAAUUAUUUUGUUUUUUUUCGCAUGGUAAUGGGGUCCAAUCCAUGACGUUCAGCGCUGCACUGGCACUAAAAAAAUAUUUUAUUUUUAUUGAUUUUCUCCUGUAAUAAUGCAAAAAGCUUUAAUGCUGCAAUGAUUCAAUAAAAUAUAAUAGUGCAAUAAUACCACAAACUGUAGUGCUUAUGGUACUUAGAGAGUAUUAAUAUUCAUCUUGCAGGGAUUUCAUAAACUUUAUGAAAGGCUAUUAAUUUGCUAUUGAUAAUGGGGAAGUGUAAUCUUUAUUUGAGUGUUAUUGGUAUUUAGCUCUACUGGAGUUCUACAUGUUGCACGCCAUGUCUUUUCAUUCCUUCCCUCCAUUGGCCGAUAUAUGUGUCAAAGAAAACAUGGUGGAUCUGUCUGUCUUGACUAGCAGAUGACAUCACACAUUUUGGCAUCUCGUUGGGCUCUGGGAGAGUACGAUUAUUAUGAUUUUAUUAUUUAUAUAGCGCCAUCAGAUUCCGUAGCGCUGUACAAUGGGAUCUGUCAAUAUUAUAACCUGAAUGCUAAGACAUCUGGAAAAUCCCCCACGCCGCGGUUAAACCAUCAGCACCCCAUUACUAUCACAAAACUACCUACCGCCCAACAUAUGAAACGGACCAAGAGGGGCACUUUAAUUUAAGGGGUGUGAGUGGGGGUGCAAGGGGCAGUUCAAAUACAUUUUCAGUGAAUAUUGGUGGGGGGGUUUCUACGUAGGCAUGAUUCGGGUGGUCUUAUCUCCCCCCCCCCCUCCCCCCCAUUCAGUCCGAUAUCUAUUAGUCUUGUUUGACUGGUUCUCUGGUUAAUUAGGGGUAGGGAAUUCAUAGAACCAUGGGUUCCAGAUUUUGGUAAAACAUGUUGUAGUAUCAGUGCAGACAUUUCAUUCAUUUUUAUGGUGUCAGUAAUUUUGCGCUUCACUACUUCUAUGGAAGGGGGUUCCGAGCAUUCCCAUUUUUCAGCAAUGGCACGUCUAAUAAUUCAUACAACACAAAUGUAACUUAUAAGAAGAUCAAUGUAUCUUAUUUCCACAGACUAAUUUCUAAACACAUUUAUUGUAGUAUAAAGACACAUUGCUGGGAGUAUUAUUGCUGUGGAGCUCUGUUAUACACUCAGACACAUUACUGGGAGUGUUAUUGUUGUGGAGCUCUGUUAUACACUCAGACAUUACUGGGAGUAUUAUUGCUGUGGAGCUCUGUUAUACACUCAGACACAUUACUGGGAGUAUUAUUGCUGUGGAGCUCUGUCAUACACUCAGACACAUUACUGGGAGUAUUAUUGCUGUGGGGCUCUGUUAUACACUCAGACACAUUACUGGGAGUAUUAUUGCUGCGGAGCUCUGUUAUACACUCAGACACAUUACUGGGAGUAUUAUUGCUGUGGAGCUCUGUUAUACACUCAGACACAUUACUGGGAGUAUUAUUGCUGUGGAGCUCUGUUAUACACUCAGACACAUUACUGGGAGUAUUAUUGCUGUGGAGCUCUGUUAUACACUCAGACAUAUUACUGGAAGUAUUAUUGCUGUGGAGCUCUGUUAUACACUCAGACACAUUACUGGGAGUAUUAUUGCUGUGGGCUCUGUUAUACACUCAGACACAUUACUGGUAGUAUUAUUGCUGUGGAGCUCUGUUAUACAGUCAGACACAUUGCUGGGAGUAUUAUUGCUGUGAGCUCUGUUUAUACACUCAGACACAUUACUGGGAGUAUUAUUGCUGUGGAGCUCUGUUAUAUACUCAGACACAUUACUGGUAGUAUUAUUGCUGUGGAGCUCUGUUAUACACUCAGACACAUUACUGGGAGUAUUAUUGCUGUGGAGCUCUGUUAUACACUCAGACACAUUACUGGGAGUAUUAUUGCUGUGGACUCUGUUAUACACUCAGACACAUUACUGGGAGUACUGGUAGUAUUGCUGUGGAGCUCUGUUAUACACUCAGACACAUUACUGGGAGUAUUCUUGCUGUGGAGCUCUGUUAUACACUCAGACACAUUACUGGGAGUAUUAUUGCUGUGGAGCUCUGUUAUACACUCAGACACAUUACUGGGAGUAUUAUUGCUAAGGAGCUCUGUUAUACAGUCAGACACAUUACUGGGGGUAUUAUUACUGUGGAGCUCUGUUAUACACUCAGACACAUUACUGGGAGUAUUCUUGCUGUGGAGCUCUGUUAUACACUCAGACACAUUACUGGGAGUAUUAUUGCUGUGGAGCUCUGUUAUACACUCAGACACAUUACUGGGAGUAUUAUUGCUGUGGAGCUCUGUUAUACACUCAGACACAUUACUGGGAGUAUUAUUGCUGUGGAGCUCUGUUAUACACUCAGACACAUUACUGGGAGUAUUAUUGCUGUGGAGCUCUGUUAUACACUUAGACACAUCAACAACAUGGAGCUCCUAGGAAAGGGGGUAUUAAGAUAGAAAAGAGGGACCCAGGGGUUUGGGCCCAAAAUGGGGACUGCCUUUUCUAAAUAUGGACACUUGAGUGGUACGAAUCUAGUAUAGACUUGGCUGAACCAUAUAUGGAUCUUAGCCACGCUCCGUAUGUGUAGACCUGUAACUAAUAAAAUGGAAACAAUGGCGUACUAUCUAUCACACCAUCAAAGCCUCACUCAAUACUCGCUUUGUUCUGAGCAUUCUCUACUGAGAGCGGUGAAACAAACAGUGAACAAUGAUCUAAUUUUGCUAAUUUCUUCUGUCUACACAACAUUGUCAUUCUUUCUCUAAACGGUCUGGGUUCCCUGGGGCUUACAAACAUAACUAGUAGUUUUGUGUGCUACUAACUUUGAGAAAAAUGAAAGACAAAAGACAAUGGGAAUAUAUGUAUUCAUAGGGAGAAACCUCUGUGGGGUCUAUUUAUCAGACAUUGAAUUGGAUUCGGGCUCGAGGUCCCCCCCCAAUCCCAUAAUUAUUUAUUGACCCUAUGCAAUCAUAGAUAGAUUUGUAUGUUUUGCAACUCUCAGUAGAAAGCUGACGGGUGAACGACAAUUUUCAUAAACCCCUAUAGGCAGCCCCCCGUUUAUUAAUGGCAGGUUCGGGGUGUGACCAUUAGAAAUAAAAUAAAAUAAAAUAAAUUUAAUGAACCCACCCAGCAUAACUAACUGAAAUGCAGCCGACUCAUUGCGACACAAGUUGGAGUGUCCCUUUAAUAUUAAUUCAUUUAAUAAUAAUUUAAUAUUAUUUUGUCUUAUCAGAGACAGACAACACAUACAGCAAUCCAAAAAACCCACAAGAUUAAAUGUGUUUGUUACCAGAUUGAAUCCACUUCAGUAAACAUGACCUUAAAGUUUAGUGCAAUCAUUUAGUAUCAAUGUCACAGUUACGCAAUGCGCAAACCUUCUUCCCAACCGCAGAUACCACACCACGUAGAGACUUCAUUGUCUGAAUGUGUUGGUGAUAAAGAUCAGAAAUGUAUUCCUUCUGUUUUGUAAUUUUUUUAACCUAAAUAAAUAUAUGUCUCAUUCUUUGUCAUGUCAUUUAUUAUUAUUGUUCUUCAUUUGGAACUGAAAAGAGAUCGGAAAAAUCCACGUUGCAAAUCGCGAGACGUCUCCACCACGACCACUGACAGAUCAUGAAUGACGUUAUAAUUCUGGUGAAGGACAGAUACAUGUAAUAGUUACUUCAGUUUUUCAGAAUUUGAAAAACACCCUUUAAAUACAUUAUUUAUUCAUUAAUCGGAUAAUUGGGUUAAACUGAUUUACAAUGUUUAUGCCAAGAGAGCUAAAUUGGAAAAUAUUACAACUUAUCUAUAUUUCUAUCUGAAGCAAACACGGGAAGAUCAGGGCCGUCUUUAACGCGGGGCAAACGGGGCAGCUGCCCUGGGCCCAGUUGCUCCUUAGGGGCCCCAGAGCAGCUGCCUCGUGGGCCCCGCGAUUUGAGCAGCUCCCCUUGGACCCGGCGGGGCGGCUGCACAGAGCCACACGCUAAAGGAGGCCCCCGGGUGACCCAUGCACUAAGGGCCACCCGGUGGGCAUGUGUCAGCAGGGGCCCGGUCGGGCGCUGUGACACUUAAACAGCGCGACCGGGCCUCUUCCUGUUCGGCAGCCGGCUGGGAGGAAGUGAGUGCCGCGCGUCACUUCCUCCCACCGGUGAUCACAACCGCGCGGGAGGAGGAAGGCAGGGAGGAGGGGAGUUCCAGAGGAGAACUCCCAUCUGCCUCAGCCUGCCACUGGACCAGGGAAACCACCCUCCAGAAAAAGGUAGGAAACUGGAGGGUGGCUAAAUGUAUGUCUGUGUGCAUGUCAGUAUGUCUCUGUGUGUGUGUCAGUAUGUCUGUGUGUGUGUCAGUAUGUCUCUGUGUGUGUGUCUAUGUCUGUGUGUAUGUCAGUAUGUCUGUGUGUCACUAAGUCUGUGUGUGUGUAUGUCAGUAUGUCUGUGUGUCACUAAGUCUGUGUGUGUCUAUGUGUGUCUCUGUGUGUGUGCGUGUAUGUCUGUGUGUGUCUGUAUAUGUCAGUAUGCCUGUGUGUGUUUGUCAGUAUGCCUGUGUGUGUUUGUCAGUAUGUCUGUGUGUGUGUGUCAGUAUGUCUGCCUGUGUGUGUGUGUCAGUAUGUCUGCCUGUGUGUGUUUGUCAGUAUGUCUGCCUGUGUGUCUGUGUCAGAAUGCCUGUUUGUGUGUGUCAAUAGGUCUGUCAGUGUAUGCGUCUGUGUGUGUCAGUAUAUUUGUCAGUUUAUGUGUCUGUGUAUUCAUGAAUGUGUGUCUGUGUGUGUGUCAGUAUGUCUGAGUGUGUGUCAAUAUGUCUGCCAGUAUAUAUUUGUGUGUCAGUGUAUGUGUAUGUCAGUAUGUAUCUGAGAAUGUUUUAAUAUGUCUGUCUGUGUGCGUAUGUGUCAGUAUGUCUGUCAGUGUGAUUGCGGGUUGGAUGUAAUUAAGGGGUUGGGGGGGAAGGAGCAGGGCCCAGGGGGCCCAAGAAAAUGCAUUGCCCAGGGUCCUAAUCAUAUUAUAGACGGCCCUGGGGAAGAUCCCUGUGAGAAGUCAAACUUUAGACACCAUAACCACUACAAUGCUUUGCAGUUGUUAUGGUGCUCAGAGUGCCCCUAGAACGUACAUACAGCUCAGUAAGCUCCUCCUAACCUCCAUUAUCUCGUAACAAUUAUAUAUCACCAAGUAGUGUGGCAAAGCUUUCUGGAAUUUGUAGUUUCAGCUAAAAGCUUUUAGAAGUAGUAAAUAUAUAAUAAAAUAUUUCUUUAAUUUUUAAUGGAAUUGUGCAAGUGAAUUGGCACAUGAACAAAAUGUUUUAAUUAUGUAUCCAAAUUUAUUAAAAAUGUUCUUAUUAGUGUUUUAUUGAGCUGAUGUACAGUAUGUAACAGAACAUUACUGUGAGUUUUAUUGCUGUGGAGCUCUGUGGUACAUCCAUACACACUGCACAUUACUGUGAGAUUUAUUGCUGUGGAUACACUCAUACACACUAUACUCUGCGGUGAGAGUUAUAAUGCUUGCUGCCCUGGGCACGGGAAUAGAUAGAUAGAUAAAGAGAUAGAAUAGAUAGAUAAAUGAACUGAUGGAUAGAAGAUAGACAGAUAGAUAGAAAGAAAGACAGACAAGCAGAUAGAUAAAUAGUUCAAUCGCCAUGGAGUCAAAGUCUUUACAGUCUUUCGGGAUGCGAUUGACUCCAUGGGGUUAAGUCCUUUCGUGUGUUGUAAAACUCCAGAACGGCCGGUGUUCGUACGCUUUCGUCGAGGCAGCCAGGUGACCCGUUGUUUCAGCAGUGUUCGGCAGAAAAAGUGUCCGUUUUUAGUUCCAUGAAAUCAGUGCCGAACACCGCUGGGCUUUCGUGUGUUUUAAAAUGUAGGUAGGUAGGUAGAUGUACCUAGCAGAGCUGGGAGUACAUGAGUGAGUGUUGGGGGUUAAUUCUGUAUACCCCAGAAUGCGGUACGGCCACACAGGGGUAAAUGGUGAUUGAACAAUAAACCCUGAUAAUGAUUAUAAUGUAUCGCAUAGUAUCCCCUGGUAUUCUUUGUUAACGGCAUAAAUGUGUGCGAUAUGUAAACUCUUCUGCUUUAUGUAAAAUGUUUACAGACGGGUGACCGGCUCUUUAAUGGAACCACAGCCAGUCCAACAUCCACCGAGAAACGGGAUACUGGUGAAAUGCGUCUGUUCUGCUUCCACAAACCCUGCCGGAGUCGUUUCUUUUCCUUCAACAAUUCUUAUUGCGAAAACCAAAGCCAUGUUUAAAGGAAUCACUUCACACAUUGCAG
rnacentral:lncRNA from 1 species